rnacentral:lncRNA from 1 species
GAACAGUCACAGUGGAAAAAGUAUUUAGUGAAACUAAUACUAUCAAACAACAGCUCACAGAGGGUUUUCAACUAUUAAAUGGGUUUGAGAGCCUUAAUGUAUCUGGACCUAGGGGUGAUGGCCACAUUGUUGAUUUCGAAGUGGAUGUCAGUGUCAUAUUUCUGACUAAAAAACUUACAAAAAUAACAGCUGACCUGGAAACGACUGUAGGCUCCUCUGCCAAAAUAUCUGUUGAAACAUCAGGAU